UACGUAGGUGGCGAGCGUUGUCCGGAUUUACUGGGCGUAAAGGGAGCGCAGGCGGCACGGCAAGCCUGAUGUGAAAGCCCGCGGCCCAACCGCGGGACUGCAUUGGGAACUACCGGGCUGGAGUGCCGGAGAGGUAGGCGGAAUUCCUAGUGUAGCGGUGAAAUGCGUAGAUAUUAGGAGGAACACCAGUGGCGAAGGCGGCCUACUGGACGGUGACUGACGCUGAGGCUCGAAAGCGUGGGGAGCAAACAGG
rnacentral:rRNA from 1 species